rnacentral:rRNA from 1 species
UACGGAGGGUGCAAGCGUUAUCCGGAUUCACUGGGUUUAAAGGGUGCGUAGGCGGAAUGGAAAGUCCGUUGUGAAAUCUCCGAGCUUAACUCGGAAAUUGCGGUGGAUACUAUCAUUCUUGAAUACUGUGGAGGUUAGCGGAAUAUGUCAUGUAGCGGUGAAAUGCAUAGAUAUGACAUAGAACACCAAUUGCGAAGGCAGCUGGCUACACAAAUAUUGACACUGAGGCACGAAAGCGUGGGGAUCAAACAGG